GCUAACACAUGCAAGUCGACGCGGAAACGACACUAACAAUCCUUCGGGUGCGUUAAUGGGCGUCGAGCGGCGGACGGGUGAGUAAUGCCUAGGAAAUUGCCUUGAUGUGGGGGAUAACCAUUGGAAACGAUGGCUAAUACCGCAUAAUGCCUACGGGCCAAAGAGGGGGACCUUCGGGCCUCUCGCGUCAAGAUAUGCCUAGGUGGGAUUAGCUAGUUGGUGAGGUAAUGGCUCACCAAGGCGACGAUCCCUAGCUGGUCUGAGAGGAUGAUCAGCCUCACUGGAACUGAGACACGGUCCAGACUCCUACGGGAGGCAGCAGUGGGGAAUAUUGCACAAUGGGCGAAAGCCUGAUGCAGCCAUGCCGCGUGUAUGAAGAAGGCCUUCGGGUUGUAAAGUACUUUCAGUUGUGAGGAAGGGGGUAGUGUUAAUAGCGCUAUCUCUUGACGUUAGCAACAGAAGAAGCACCGGCUAACUCCGUGCCAGCAGCCGCGGUAAUACGGAGGGUGCGAGCGUUAAUCGGAAUUACUGGGCGUAAAGCGCAUGCAGGUGGUUCAUUAAGUCAGAUGUGAAAGCCCGGGGCUCAACCUCGGAACUGCAUUUGAAACUGGUGAACUAGAGUACUGUA
rnacentral:rRNA from 1 species